rnacentral:rRNA from 1 species
GACGAACGCUGGCGGCGUGCUUAACACAUGCAAGUCGAACGAAGUGGCGAACGGGUGAGUAACGCGUAAUAAACCUGCCCUUCAGAGGGGGACAACAGUUGGAAACGACUGCUAAUACCGCAUACUGAAUGAGGGGAUUGCGUCUGAUUAGCUCGUUGGGGGGGUAACGGCCCACCAAGGUGAUGUUCAGUAGCCUGGUUGAGAGGAUGAACGGCCACAUUGGGACUGAGAAACGGCCCAGACCCCUACGGGAGGCAGCAGUGGGGAAUCUUCCGCAAUGGACGAAAGGCUGACGGAGCAACGCCGGGUGAGUGAUGACGGCCGUCGGGUUGUAAAGCUCUGUUAAUCGGGACGCGGUACCGGAAUAGAAAGCCACGGCUAACUACGUGCCAGCAGCCGCGGUAAUAC